rnacentral:rRNA from 1 species
GGUGAACGCUGGCGGCGUGCCUAACACAUGCAAGUCGAUCGGAGCAGCAAUGCUUAGAGGCGAACGGGUGAGGAAAACGUAGUAACCAACCCUUUAGACUGGGAUAGCCACUGGAAACGGUGGGUAAUACCGGAUAAGCUCGAGAGAGGAAAGGCAGAGAAGCGCUAAAGGACGGAACUGCGCCCCAUCAGAUAGUUGGUGAGGUAAAGGCUUACCAAGUCAAAGACGGGAAACCGACGUGAGAGCGUGUACGGUCACAAGGGCACUGAGAGACGGGCCCUACUCCUACGGGAGGCAGCAGUGGGGAAUAUUGGACAAUGGACGAAAGUCUGAUCCAGCGACGCCGCGUGGAGGAAGAAGUCCUUCGGGAUGUAAGUUCUUUUAUAUGUGAGCAGUGCUUCUUAUAUUAACAGUAUGGGGAGAGAGAGUAUUAGCAUAUGAAUAAGCAACGGCUAACUCCGUG